rnacentral:rRNA from 1 species
AAUAGAUACCCCGGUAGUCCACGCCCUAAACGAUGUCAACUAGCUGUUGGGGCCUUCGGGCCUUGGUAGCGCAGCUAACGCGUGAAGUUGACCGCCUGGGGAGUACGGUCGCAAGAUUAAAACUCAAAGGAAUUGACGGGGACCCGCACAAGCGGUGGAUGAUGUGGAUUAAUUCGAUGCAACGCGAAAAACCUUACCUACCCUUGACAUGUCUGGAAUGCCGAAGAGAUUUGGCAGUGCUCGCAAGAGAACCGGAACACAGGUGCUGCAUGGCUGUCGUCAGCUCGUGUCGUGAGAUGUUGGGUUAAGUCCCGCAACGAGCGCAACCCUUGUCAUUAGUUGCUACGAAAGGGCACUCUAGUGAGACUGCCGGUGACAAACCGGAGGAAGUGGGGAUGACGUCAAGUCCUCAUGGCCCUUAUGGGUAGGGCUUCACACGUCAUACAAUGGUCGGGACAGAGGGUCGCCAACCCGCGAGGGGGAGCCGAAUCCCAGAAACCCGAUCGUAGUCCGGAUCGCAGUCUGCAA